UACAGAGACUGCGAGCGUUAUUCGGAUUCACUGGGCGUAAAGGGUGCGCAGGCGGCCAAGUGUGUUAGGCGUGAAAGCCCGGGGCUUAACCCCGGAAUUGCACCUAAAACUACAUGGCUAGAGCAUUGGAGAGGGGAGCAGAAUUCACGGUGUAGCAGUGAAAUGCGUAGAUAUCGUGAGGAAUACCAGAGGCGAAGGCGGCUCCCUGGACAAUUGCUGACGCUCAGGCACGAAAGCGUGGGGAGCAAAAGGG
rnacentral:rRNA from 1 species